rnacentral:lncRNA from 1 species
UGCAAUAUCUACGGCAGCUUACCGAGAGACAAGCGUCGAUGGCAUAGACCCUACGCGGAGUUUUACUUUGAACGUUCAAAAGUCGUGCCCAACCCCCGUUUCCAAGGAAUUUAAGGAGCAUAUUUAUUUUGAAGAGUUUUAAGGGCCCUUGAAUCUGUUUUUCCAAAUUCAAGGUGUACGAACCCAGGCAAUAUGAAAAAUGCCCCUCUUUUUCACUUCACGUAACACAACUAAACAAGCGAACAUUCUAUACUGUGCUGCUGCAUCUUUAUUAGCCACACGAGGUUGGUCAAGAAAAUAAGCUCCAUGCAGAACACCGCAAGUGGUGGUUGUAGAAGUAGCCCACCAUGACCACAGCAAAGCCCUAAAAUCAAGGGUUUUGACUGCGAGUGUUUUUUUCUAAUUCUACCUUGUCUGCAUCAAAAGCAACGGGGCAGCAGAAGAGUCCUUGCUUUCCGAGGUGCUUGACAAUAGCAGCAAUGGUGGCUGGAGCUAAAGUUUUGUCCAGGUCUACUUGAGAAGCAAAAGCACACAAUCAUGUACGGUGGCAUCCACAGACCGCCAACACAUCUUGCAGCUGCCUCGCAGAGGAUGCUGGGAGGCCAAACAACCUCAGUCAUGUGGCGUAUUCGCCCCUCCCUCGCACCUGUUCUUAGAGAACGAAAAUGCUAAACAGUCUUGCUCUCACGACUCUGCUGCUCUACCAUGGGGCUACCCUCGCUACUCGGAAGCCUCCGCUACUAUUUCCCCACAGAAAAGCGCAAAGUGGCAUUGGUCCAGCCUGGUCCACGACAAAGACGAUUUCCAGCAAAUCUAGAAAGUCUCAGCAACAA